GAGGGAGGUAGGAGCCGAGAGCCGAGGCGGCCGGCUCUGCGGUGACUGGGGAUCCUCGGGCCCUGCCCGCCGUCUGAGGGGGUCACCUGCGCGGCCGUGCGCUGGAGUCACCGAGGAGUCCCGCCGUGCCGGUGGGCGGGGGAGCGUGUCGAGGAGACUCGCGCAGCCCGGGACAGGCACAGAUGGAAGGUCAGCGCUUGUGAAGCUUUGUGCGCCCGGGGCAGAGGGGUCUUUUUUGGAGUCCUUCUAAAGCUUCACGCUGGCUUCAUCAGACUGUUUCUGCAUUUCUCUUAAUUUGCACUGCAUUCUUCAUAGUCAUUCUCUGGGAUGCUUCUGCUUUGACUUCUGCAGCCUUCCUCCUUUUAAUCCUGUGCCUGGAUGAAGACUAUCAGAUACCACCCCGGUGUGGCUGGGAAAGGAACAUCCAUUCCAUCAGCUCUGCUUCUUGCCUCCUUGCUGGCAGGGCUAACAGUAGUAAAGCUCAAGAGGAGAAGAUGUGACUAUUUGACCAAUUUUUGACCAUUGUCUAUUAAUCGCAAUGCAAGUUUAAGUCCCAUGAGGUGAUGCAGCUGCAUGCAGUUGCAAAAAUUUAGAGCAUGGAGAAGAAAGUUACACUGACAGCCCCUCAGGCUUUGCAGCAAGGAUGGAUUCUGUGAGAUGUGCAACAGCAGGAAGUGGUGGAUCACAGAGGGGAUAGUGAAGUUUUCUUUGCUCUCCAUCUGCCUGCGUUAUCCCAUCUCUCCCUUUGCUUCAUCAAACCAGGAUGCAAUUGGAAAUGAACAGUCAGGGCCAGGCUUUCAUCCAUCCUGCCAAAGGAUUACACCACAUCUAGUUGGGAUGACAGUUGCCAGACAGCAUAGCUUUGCUGCUUUGAGUGACAGACCUGAUGGUGCAUCUAACCUGAUGGUUGGAUUUGAAAAUGCGAUUGCAACUUGGGUUCCCAGAAUGAGACACCUUUAUCUUCUCUGAGGUCUGAAAAAGAAUCUUCCUGCAGAAUAGAGGCAUCUGUCCUCAGCUGAAAAAAAUGGUAAGUGAUGCAGCUAUUUUCCUAUGUGGAAAAAAUAAUAUUUUUUUUUAUAUAACACUAAAAUGGCUUGUGAUAUUUGCUGUUCUUUAGAAUAAUGCUGAUAUACCAGAGAGAUCAAAGCAUUGCAGCAUAUUUUAUCAACCUGUCUGUAUUCUGAAUCUAUGAAAUUGGAUUUUCUCUUGUUCUUAUUCAAUUUAUGAUUUAUUUUUCUCCCAGUAUAAAUCUGUUUCUGUUGUAUGGAUUCAUGGCAGGUAUUCCAUCUUGUUUUUCAAUAUGCUAUGUCUAGAACAAAUAUCUAGUCAGUCAUGGGCAUAUAAAAUAUUAAUCAUACAUGUUUGAAGGUAUGUUGCUAUAGCAAUUCCUUUAGUACAAGGAAAAAUCAGAAUAUAGCAGACCAGGGAUAUGAGAACAGUAGGAAUUACAAAGCUGUAACGGCACUAUUAACACAUUACUGCAUUGUAAUGAUAUUAUUUCCCAACUAUUCUAGUCUCCAGCUGGCUAUUUUCAAGAUAGAAUUCUUCAGCAGGGAUUUCAUAAAUGACUCCAACACAAAAGACACUUGCAAUAUGAAGAAGACAUUAAGCAAUCUGAAGAAAAUAUUUUUAAAAGAGAAAAUAUGCAAAUGUAUAAAAUAUUUUCUGUUCAUUUUUACUAGAUUCUUUCUCUUUGCUAUUCCAUGUGAACUACCCUGAGGGGCUGAACAUGACAGGGUUGAACAGAGAUAAAAGAAGGACCGUGCUUAAAAGAAAUGCUGUAAGUUCAGCUUAUAAAGCUGCAAAGCAUGAAAGCUGGGAGAGCUAGCAGGAGUAAUGUAUGGAAAUGUAAUUUCAUUUUGUAUUACAAAUCUAACUGGAAAAUUUUAAAACCAAAGCAGAAUAGACAUUGUCUCCAAGAGGACUGUAAUUAUCUG
rnacentral:lncRNA from 1 species